UACGAAGGGUGCAAGCGUUAAUCGGAAUUACUGGGCGAAAAGCGCGCGUAGGUGGUUCAGUAAGUUGGAAGUGAAAUCCCCGGGCUCAACCUGGGAACUGCUUUCAAAACUGCUGAGCUAGAGUACGGUAGAGGGUGGUGGAAUUUCCUGUGUAGCGGUGAAAUGCGUAGAUAUAGGAAGGAACACCAGUGGCGAAGGCGACCACCUGGACUGAUACUGACACUGAGGUGCGAAAGCGUGGGGAGCAAACAGG
rnacentral:rRNA from 1 species